UAUGCUUGUCUCAAAGAUUAAGCCAUGCAUGUCUAAGUCCAAGCUGUGUUCACACGGCGAGACCGCGGACGGCUCAUUAAAUCAGUCGUGGUCCAAAUGGGCCAGUGCAAAUCCUACUUGGAUAACUGUGGUAAUUCCAGAGCUAAUACAUGCAACUGAUAUCCCGAAGGCGGUGUUGGGGCUUGCUUGCCUUGCGCUGCGCUGCUCUGACGGAUGCUUUUAUUAGACCAAGCCGCUGAGGACUUGAGGGUUCGCGCUCUCUUGUUUGACUCGUGUGAUGGUGACUCUGGAUAACCAAAUUCUGACAAGCGCACGUACUUCUCUUCUGAGCGAGACGGCGCUGCCACUUUCGAGUGUCUGCCUUAUCAGCUAUCAACCGUUCGUUAUGCGCGACCGAUGGCUUUGACGGGUAACGGGGAAUCAGGGUUCGAUUCCGGAGAGGCAGCCUGAGAGACGGCUACCACGUCCAAGGACGGCAGCAGGCACGCAAAUUACCCAAUCCCAGCAAAUGGGGGAGGUAGUGACGAAAUCUAACGAUGCGGGCGCCCUUUCUGGGGCCCCGCAAUCGGAAUGGGCACUUUCUAAACAACCUGUUGAGAACCUACUGAAGGGCAAGUCUGGUG
rnacentral:rRNA from 1 species